UCGCCGAUCGGCAACAUCGCCCUCAUCCUUUGGUGGACGGUGGCAGUUUGGACUGAAACGGUGGUGAGAUUAAUGGCUGAGAGCAUCAAGACUCGGUUUGGUGGCGGUGCAAAACUAAACAGGGAGGUCCUCCAGCUGGGUAGAUGGGUAUGAGUUGGUUUCUUUCGCAUUUGCAGACACUGAUUGAAUGAAUAUGGGUUGGGCGCUGUGUGUGAUUAAUGGCUGUGUUGAGAUUGUAAGUUAGAGUCUCAUAAGAGAUGUUGAGGAUGAUGAACUUGGUCAGAGAAAGAGGCAACGAAGAGAAAAAACUAGUGAGAGAAAAAGCUUAAUAUGAGGUGAACGUUUUUUAACCCUUGGAUAUUAUGUGUGCUACGUGUCAGUCAUCUAAAUUAAAACGGGAGGGGGAGCUGGUCCCGUCAGUAGUUACACUUACACAAACACAAAAGGCAGGACAAAAAAUAACACAAGUGGUAAGACGUAAGAGUUUAGAGGCGUGAAUGAAUCAUCAAUCAUCCAAGGAAAACCUGUGUCCAGUUUAUAGUCGUUUUACUAUUUCAUUACCUGCAACUGGAAGUUCGAUACAAAAAAAGAGAUAGCUGAGCUGAUUUCUCUCUCUCUCUCUCUCUAUCUCUCUCUCUCUGAGGCCCAACGUAUUCCGCCGUAUCACAACUACCAAACGCCUCAAAGAAUGGGGAGUUUCAAUGAAGAGAAACUCAGGUUUUGCAUUGACAGAGGGGGGACCUUCACUGAUGUUUAUGCUGAAAUCCCGGGUCGGACUGAUGGUCAAGUUUUGAAACUUUUGUCUGUUGACCCAUCAAACUAUGAUGAUGCUCCAGUUGAGGGUAUUCGGAGGAUUCUCGAAGAGUUUACAGGGGAGAAAAUCCCACGUACUUUGAAAAUUCCCACGGAUAAGAUUGAGUGGAUUAGGAUGGGUACAACCGUGGCGACAAAUGCACUUUUGGAAAGAAAAGGAGAAAGGAUUGCUUUGUGUGUGACUCGAGGCUUCCGGGAUUUGCUCCAAAUUGGUAACCAGGCUCGCCCCAGCAUAUUCGACCUCACUGUAUCAAAACCAUCUAAUCUUUACGAGGAGGUUAUAGAGGUUGAUGAGAGAAUUGAGCUUGUUCAUGAUAAGGAGGAGAAUCAAGGUUCUUCUGCACCAUUAAUUAAGGGCAUUUCAGGCGAGAUUGUCAGGGUUGUGAAGCCUCUCAAUGAAGAAGCUCUCAAGCCUUUACUGAAAGGGUUGUUGGAGAAGGGAAUUAGCUGUUUGGCUGUCGUGUUGAUGCAUUCUUACACUUAUCCACAGCAUGAAACAGCUGUAGAGAGGUUAGCUGUGAGUUUGGGUUUCAGACAUGUUUCUUUAUCUUCAGCUUUGACUCCCAUGGUUAGAGCUGUUCCGAGGGGUCUAACAGCUAGUGUUGAUGCAUACUUGACCCCAGUUAUUAAAGAGUACUUAUCAGGAUUCAUAUCCAAAUUUGAUGAAGGGUUGGGGAAGUUGAAUGUUCUGUUUAUGCAAUCAGAUGGAGGACUUGCACCAGAAAGUAGAUUUUCAGGGCACAAGGCAGUGUUGUCUGGUCCGGCCGGUGGGGUUGUAGGCUACUCACAGACUCUUUUUAAUCUUGAAACACAGAAGCCCCUUAUUGGGUUUGACAUGGGUGGUACAUCUACUGAUGUGAGCCGUUAUGCUGGAAGUUAUGAACAAGUUCUCGAAACUCAAAUUGCUGGUUCUAUAAUUCAAGCACCUCAGCUUGACAUCAACACUGUUGCUGCCGGUGGUGGAUCAAAGUUGAAAUUCCAAUUUGGAGCUUUCCGAGUUGGACCAGAAUCAGUGGGUGCACACCCUGGUCCUGUGUGUUACCGGAAAGGUGGGGAAUUGGCAGUAACAGAUGCAAACCUGAUUCUAGGAUUUGUUAUUCCUGAUUAUUUCCCAUCCAUCUUUGGCCCUAAGGAAGAUCAGCCUCUAGAUAUCAAGGCAACUAGAGAAGAAUUUGAGAAGCUUGCAAGGGAAAUAAACUCCUACAGAAAGAGUCAGGAUCCAUCUGCCAAGGACAUGACAGUGGAGGAGAUUGCUCUGGGAUUUGUGAAUGUUGCUAAUGAGACAAUGUGUCGUCCAAUACGGCAGUUAACUGAGAUGAAGGGCCAUGAAACAAGGAACCAUGCUCUUGCUUGCUUUGGAGGUGCUGGACCUCAGCAUGCGUGCUCCAUUGCUAGGUCUUUGGGUAUGAAAGAAGUACUUGUUCACAGGUUCUGUGGGAUCUUAAGUGCUUAUGGGAUGGGAUUAGCCGAUGUUAUUGAAGAGGCACAGGAGCCAUAUUCUGCUGUUUAUGGUCCCGAAUCUGUCCUCGAGGCCUUUCACAGAGAAACUAUUUUGCUGAAGCAAGUAAUACAGAAGUUGCAAGAGCAAGGUUUUAGAGAGGAAAACAUUACUGCAGAAACAUAUUUAAAUUUAAGAUAUGAAGGUACAGACACUGCCAUCAUGGUUAAGAGGCAAACAACUGAAGAUGGAUCAGCUUGUGACUAUGCAGUGGAAUUUGUGAAUCUCUUUCAGCAAGAGUAUGGAUUUAAACUACAAAACAGGAACAUCUUAAUAUGUGAUGUAAGAGUUCGUGGUAUAGGAGUCACAAAUAUAUUGAAGCCUCAGGUCCUUGAACUUGUUUCUGGUACUCCUAAAGUUGAAGACAACUACAAGGUUUACUUUGGGAAUGGGUGGCAAGAUACACCUCUGUUCAAGCUUGAGAAUUUGGGGUAUGGGCAUGUCUUACCAGGUCCUUCAAUCAUCAUGAAUGGGAAUAGUACUGUGAUAGUGGAGCCCAACUGUAGAGCUAUUAUAACCAAAUAUGGCAACAUUAAAAUUGAAGUUGAGUCUACUAUAAACACCAUGAAAGUAGCAGAAAAAGUUGCAGAUGUUGUGCAGCUUUCAAUCUUUAAUCACAGGUUUAUGGGAAUUGCUGAACAGAUGGGAAGGACCCUACAGAGGACUUCUAUAUCAACAAAUAUCAAGGAACGGCUGGAUUUCUCUUGUGCUCUCUUUGGUCCUGAUGGGGGACUAGUUGCAAAUGCCCCUCACGUUCCUGUUCACCUAGGAGCCAUGUCUAGCACAGUUCGGUGGCAGUUCAACUACUGGGGUGAUAAUUUGAAUGAAGGUGAUGUUUUGGUUGCCAAUCAUCCUUGUGCUGGUGGUAGCCAUCUUCCUGAUAUAACUGUUGUUACACCUGUUUUUGAUAAGGGGAGGCUAGUAUUUUUUGUGGCAAGCCGAGGGCAUCAUGCAGAGAUUGGUGGAAUAACUCCUGGAAGCAUGCCACCUUUUUCAAAGUCCAUAUGGGAAGAAGGGGCUGCCAUAAAAGCAUUUAAGCUCGUGGAAAAGGGGAUUUUUCAGGAAGAAGGAAUCAUGAAACUUCUCCAAUUCCCCAGCUCUGGUGAAGUGGAGCAUAAGAUCCCUGGAACACGCAGGAUUCAAGAUAAUCUAUCAGAUCUUCGAGCACAAGUAGCUGCAAAUCAGAGAGGAAUUUCCCUCAUAAAAGAGCUUAUUGAGCAGUAUGGUUUGGACACUGUUCAGGCUUACAUGACGUAUGUGCAGUUAAAUGCAGAAGAAGCAGUGAGAGAAAUGCUUAAGUCAGUUGCUACUACAGUUUCAUCUCAGUCAUCUGAGCUUGGAGAUGGAAAUUCAGUAACCAUUGAGGAAGAGGAUUACAUGGAUGACGGGUCCAUUAUUCAUUUGAAACUGACAAUUGAUUCUGAUAAAGGUGAAGCAAUUUUUGACUUUAACGGGACUAGUCCUGAAGUUUAUGGGAAUUGGAAUGCACCAGAAGCAGUAACAGCUGCAGCAGUCAUUUACUGCCUUCGCUGUUUGGUGGAUGUCGAUAUUCCUCUCAAUCAAGGUUGUUUGGCUCCUGUUAAGAUCCAUAUUCCAGCAGGGUCAUUCCUCUCUCCAAGUGAUAAAGCUGCGGUGGUGGGAGGUAACGUUCUGACAUCACAGAGAAUAACUGAUGUUGUACUAACUGCAUUUCAAGCUUGUGCAUGUUCACAGGGUUGUAUGAAUAACCUCACAUUUGGGGAUGAUUCUUUUGGUUAUUAUGAAACAAUUGGAGGUGGGAGUGGGGCUGGUCCAACCUGGCAUGGAACCAGUGGAGUCCAAUGCCACAUGACCAACACGAGAAUGACUGAUCCGGAGAUUUUUGAGCAGAGAUAUCCGGUUCUUUUGCAUAAAUUUGGGCUUAGGGAGAACAGCGGGGGAACCGGACUUCAUAGAGGAGGUGAUGGUCUUGUCAGGGAGAUAGAGUUCAAGCGCCCUGUUGUGGUGAGCAUUCUAUCGGAGAGGCGUGUUCAUGCACCAAGAGGCCUAAAAGGUGGCAAAGAUGGGGCUCGUGGGGCUAACUUCCUUGUCACAAAAGAUAAUCGGAGAGUUUAUCUUGGGGGUAAAAAUACAGUUGAGGUGCAGGCAGGGGAAAUUCUUCAAAUUUUAACUCCUGGUGGUGGGGGAUGGGGUUCUCCUCUUUGAUUCUUCUCUGAAGCAAAUUGCUUCUGGUUGAGUUCAACUUUUGUACUGGAUUUGCUGCAAAUGGAUGCAAAGGAGCAUCUUGCUGCACUGGCUGAUAAGCUGGGUCCCUCUCUGACAGAUAUAGAUCUGUCAGAAAGAUCACCACGGACACCUGCUGAUACUACUGAACAAGAUUAUGAUGAGAAGGCUGGAGAUGCAGUUGAUUAUGAAGAUUUUGAUGAGCAGUAUGAGGGUCCAGAGAUUCAAGCUACUAGUGAGGAGGACCAUUGUUACCCAAAAAGGAGUACUUCUCUACUGAUGUUUCUCUUGCUUCGUUGAAGCCUACAUCAGUGUUUGAUGAUGAAAAUUAUGAUGAGGAACUUGAACAAGAACACGAGGUGGUGGAUAACAAUUUGGAAGUUCAAACUACCUCUUUAACAGGUGACCAGGGUGAAAUUCUUGGUGUGGUUUCUGAAAGUGAGAAAUCUUUUGAUGAUGAUUUACAACAUGCCUCCCUAGAAGCUGAAAAGUUGGCUGUCGAUAUAGAAGAAUUCCAGAUGGAUAUAAAUCUAUGGACAUGUCUGAUAUUGUUGAAGAGGAUGAGGAGGAAUUUUUAAAGGAUGCUGGUCAAGGUUUUUCAUUUAUGAAACAGGCACAUUCACUUGAACUUGAAGGCUCAGUUUUUGAUGAUGACAAACCAGAGGUCACAGCAUUUGGUGAUCUGCAAGAGGCUACCUCAUUGCCUUCAGAAGAUGAUGGGCAAAGAAAGGACUCCUGUCUCAGUGCAGAACCAAUGAAAAAAUGGGGUAAUAGGAAAUUUUUCUGUUAGAUUGCAGGCACCACAAUGUCCUGGAUUUUAUCCUCUUGAUCAGCAACACUGGGAAAAGGGAAUUCUUUGGGACAAUUCUCCUGUAGCGAGUGACAAUUCUGUUGACAGUUGUGAAAUUUCUGGACCUGACUUGGAUGCUUCAGUUGUUAGUGAAGCAGAACUCUAGACAGGGCGACAAAAUCCUGGAUCAGAGCCCCAAACAGAACCAGAUGAGAAUGAUCAUUACAGUUUUCUUCGCAGUUAUCCUGAUUUGCUGGAGCCCUUUGGCUCAAGAAACUCCUCCCCUCCAUUCUCAUUAAGACAAUAUCAUCCGCAACUUUUGAGGUUAGAAUCCUGCUUAGAAGUGGAUAAUUCUGAUCAUGCAGAUGGUGGAAAGGAGAAUGCUAGUGAGGGGUUCACCAAAGUGAUGGUUUAAAGCAUUUUAACAAACUCACAUCACAACACUUGAGAACACUUGCUCUAAUGUCAGCAACAACUCUUGGUCAAAAUCACAAUAUAUAUUGAGUUAUAUUCUUCAAGAAACUAAAUAGCAAGUUUGGUCGUGGGCCUAGGCUUAGAGCCUCCUACUAGAGUAGAAAAA